GGUAAUGCCGGAUGCUCCAUCACACCGCAUGGUGUGUUGGGAAAGCCUUUGCGGCAUGGGAUGGGGUCGCGUCCUAUCAGCUUGAUGGCGGGGUAACGGCCCACCAUGGCUUCGACGGGUAGCCGGCCUGAGAGGGCGACCGGCCACAUUGGGACUGAGAUACGGCCCAGACUCCUACGGGAGGCAGCAGUGGGGAAUAUUGCACAAUGGGCGCAAGCCUGAUGCAGCGACGCCGCGUGAGGGAUGGAGGCCUUCGGGUUGUAAACCUCUUUUGUUAGGGAGCAAGGCACUUUGUGUUGAGUGUACCUUUCGAAUAAGCACCGGCUAACUACGUGCCAGCAGCCGCGGUAAUACGUAGGGUGCAAGCGUUAUCCGGAAUUAUUGGGCGUAAAGGGCUCGUAGGCGGUUCGUCGCGUCCGGUGUGAAAGUCCAUCGCUUAACGGUGGAUCCGCGCCGGGUACGGGCGGGCUUGAGUGCGGUAGGGGAGACUGGAAUUCCCGGUGUAACGGUGGAAUGUGUAGAUAUCGG
rnacentral:rRNA from 1 species